rnacentral:rRNA from 1 species
AUCCUGGUUGAGAUUGAAUACUGACGGCGUGGAUGAGGCAUGCAAGUCGAACGAAAUAGCUUGCUAUUUAGUGGCGAAAGGGUUAGUAAUACAUGAGUAACGUACCUCUUUCCUGGGGAUAACGGUUGGAAACGACCGCUAAUACCGAAUGAGGAGAUCCGGGGUAGCCCGGAAUUUUCAAAGUAGGGGAUCCUUCGGGACCUUACGGAGAGAGAGCGGCUCAUGGGAUAUCAGCUUGUUGGUGUGGUAAAGGCGCACCAAGGCUAAGACGUCUAGGCGGACUGAGAGGUUGACCGCCAACACUGGGACUGAGACACUGCCCAGACUCCUAUGGGAGGCUGCAGUCGAGAAUCAUUCGCAAUGGGCGAAAGCCUGACGAUGCGACGCCGUGUGGACGAUGAAGGCCUUCGGGUUGUAAAGUCCCUUCGCCGGGGAACAAGAGAGAGUAACUAAUAAUUGCUCAAUUUGAGUGUACCCGGUAAAGAAGCACCGGCUAACUCCGUGCCAGCAGCUGCGGUAAUACGGAGGGUGCAAGCAUUAAUCGGAUUUAUUGGGUGUAAAGAGCAUGUAGGCGGAUAAGUAAGUCAGAUGUGAAAUUUCGGAGCUCAACUUCGAAGCUGCAUUUGAAACUAUUUGUCUUGAGGGUAGACGGAGAAAACGGAAUUCCAAGUGUAGCGGUGAAAUGCGUAGAUAUUUGGAAGAACACCGGUGGCGAAAGCGGUUUUCUAGUUUAUUCCUGACGCUGAGAUGCGAGAGCAAGGGUAGCAAACAGGAUUAGGUACCCUGGUAGUCCUUGCCGUAAACGAUGCAUACUUGGUGUAGUUGGACUCAACCCCGACUGUGCCGUAGCUAACGCGUUAAGUAUGCCACCUGGGGAGUACGCCCGCAAGGGUGAAACUCAAAAGAAUUGACGGGGGCCCGCACAAGCAGUGGAGCAUGUGGUUUAAUUCGAUGCAACGCGAAGAACCUUACCCAGGCUUGACAUAUAGAGGACCGCUCUAGAGAUAGGGUUUCCCGCAAGGGCCUUUAUACAGGUGCUGCAUGGCUGUCGUCAGCUCGUGCCGUGAGGUGUUGGGUUAAGUCCCGCAACGAGCGCAACCCUUGUCGUUAGUUACCAGCACGUAAUGGUGGGGACUCUAACGAGACUGCCUAGGUUAACUAGGAGGAAGGUGAGGAUGAC